CCUACGGGUGGCAGCAGUGGGGAAUAUUGGGCAAUGGGCGCAAGCCUGACCCAGCAACGCCGCGUGAAGGAAGAAGGCUUUCGGGUUGUAAACUUCUUUUAUCAGGGACGAAGAAAGUGACGGUACCCGAGGAAUAAGCCACGGCUAACCACGUGCCAGCAGCCGCGGUAAUACGUAGGUGGCAAGCGUUAUCCGGAUUUAUUGGGUGUAAAGGGCGUGUAGGUGGUAGCGUAAGUCAGCUGUGAAAAUCCAGGGCUCAACCCUGGGCCUGCCUUUGAAACUGUGAUUCUUGAGUGCUGGAGAGGCAAGCGGAAUUCCGGGUGUAGCGGUGAAAUGCGUAGAUAUACGGAGGAACACCAGUGGCGAAGGCGGAUUGCUGGACUGUAACUGACGCUGAGGCGCGAAAGCGUGGGGAGCAAACAGGAUUAGAUACCCUUGUAGUC
rnacentral:rRNA from 1 species